GUUUAAAAAUAUUUUUAUUUAUAAUCAUUUUAAUGGAAAUUAAAACGGUAUCAAACAACAUCAAAAUUCUUCCUGAGAAAAGAAUUAAUCCCAAUAUAAUUCAAAAAAACAAAAUUACUAAUAAAAAAUCCAAAAGAGGACAUGAUAUUCUAUGUUUUGAUUUGAAAAAGAAGUUGUUCUGGACGGAGUA